AGGUGCCUGUCCAUCCAAGAUUAUUAUCGUCCAGACAACUCCGUGAAGAGCAUACCGUUCUCCAACUUUAACCGCACCGAAAAGAAAACGAUUGGGACGCUAAUAAAAUAUGUUCGACUGGAAAUAAAUUCUCCUGGAAAGUUCCGCGUAAACUUUUUGUACAGCGACAUAUCGCAUCUGUCUGACGGAGGAAUCCCCCUGAUUCGUGUUCAAAAGUCGUUGAGGGAUUAUCGGAAACUUCCUGUGCCAUUACCGCGUGGAAUUUCUUUCUGAAAAUAGUUGUAAAGAAUCCGGGGUCAGAAAUUGUAUUGCCACCAAAAAAACAAGAGGUGACCUUCAAAUAACCUUCCCUGAACAUGAGCUAAAUGGACGCCAGACUUGG